AGGAGUGUAGCUCAAUUGGUAGAGCGCCGGUCUCCAAAACCGGAGGUUGCGGGUUCGAUACCUGUCGCUCCUGCCA
rnacentral:tRNA from 32 species